GACGAACGCUGGCGGCGUGCUUAACACAUGCAAGUCGAACGGUAAGGCUCCAGCUUGCUGGGGUACACGAGUGGCGAACGGGUGAGUAACACGUGGGUGACCUGCCCUGCACUUCGGGAUAAGCCUGGGAAACUGGGUCUAAUACCGGAUAGGACCGCACCGUGAGGGUGUGGUGGAAAGUUUUUUCGGUGUGGGAUGGGCCCGCGGCCUAUCAGCUUGUUGGUGGGGUAAUGGCCUACCAAGGCGGCGACGGGUAGCCGGCCUGAGAGGGUGGACGGCCACAUUGGGACUGAGACACGGCCCAGACUCCUACGGGAGGCAGCAGUGGGGAAUAUUGCACAAUGGGCGGAAGCCUGAUGCAGCGACGCCGCGUGGGGGAUGACGGCCUUCGGGUUGUAAACUCCUUUCACCAUCGACGAAGGGUUUCUGACGGUAGAUGGAGAAGAAGCACCGGCUAACUACGUGCCAGCAGCCGCGGUAAUACGUAGGGUGCGAGCGUUGUCCGGAAUUACUGGGCGUAAAGAGCUCGUAGGUGGUUUGUCGCGUCGUCUGUGAAAUUCCUGGGCUUAACUCCGGGCGUGCAGGCGAUACGGGCAUAACUUGAGUACUGUAGGGGAGACUGGAAUUCCUGGUGUAGCGGUGAAAUGCGCAGAUAUCAGGAGGAACACCGGUGGCGAAGGCGGGUCUCUGGGCAGUAACUGACGCUGAGGAGCGAAAGCAUGGGGAGCGAACAGGAUUAGAUACCCUGGUAGUCCAUGCCGUAAACGGUGGGCGCUAGGUGUGGGUUUCCUUCCACGGGAUCCGUGCCGUAGCUAACGCAUUAAGCGCCCCGCCUGGGGAGUACGGCCGCAAGGCUAAAACUCAAAGGAAUUGACGGGGGCCCGCACAAGCGGCGGAGCAUGUGGAUUAAUUCGAUGCAACGCGAAGAACCUUACCUGGGCUUGACAUAUACAGGAUCGCGCCAGAGAUGGUGUUUCCCUUGUGGCUUGUAUACAGGUGGUGCAUGGCUGUCGUCAGCUCGUGUCGUGAGAUGUUGGGUUAAGUCCCGCAACGAGCGCAACCCUUGUCUUAUGUUGCCAGCACGUUGUGGUGGGGACUCGUAAGAAACUGCCGGGGUUAACUCGGAGGAAGGUGGGGAUGACGUCAAAUCAUCAUGCCCCUUAUGUCCAGGGCUUCACACAUGCUACAAUGGUCGGUACAGUGGGUUGCCAGUCCGUGAGGGCGAGCUAAUCCCGCAAAGCCGGUCUCAGUUCGGAUCGGGGUCUGCAACUCGACCCCGUGAAGUCGGAGUCGCUAGUAAUCGCAGAUCAGCAACGCUGCGGUGAAUACGUUCCCGGGCCU
rnacentral:rRNA from 1 species